GGAUCAGUGGUAUACAAGGUGUGCAAGCUUGUCUGAAAAACAAGAGAGAACUGUUCAAUUCAGUUCUGAUCCA
rnacentral:tRNA from 1 species